UACGUAGGGGGCAAGCGUUGUCCGGAAUCAUUGGGCGUAAAGCGCGUGUAGGCGGCCCGGUAAGUCCGCUGUGAAAGUCCAGGGCUCAACCCUGGAAAGCCGGUGGAUACUGUCGGGCUCGAGUCCGGAAGAGGCGAGUGGAAUUCCUGGUGUAGCGGUGAUAUGCGCAGAUGUCAGGAGGAACACCGAUGGCGAAGGCAGCUCGCUGGGACGGUACUGACGCUGAGACGCGAAAGCGUGGGGAGCAAACAGG
rnacentral:rRNA from 1 species